rnacentral:rRNA from 1 species
CCGAGUGGCGGACGGGUGAGUAACGCGUGGGUAACCUGCCUCAUACAGGGGGAUAACGGUUAGAAAUGACCGCUAAUACCGCAUAAGCGCACAGUACCGCAUGGUACGGUGUGAAAAACUCCGGUGGUAUGAGAUGGACCCGCGUCUGAUUAGCUAGUUGGUGGGGUAACGGCCCACCAAGGCGACGAUCAGUAGCCGACCUGAGAGGGUGACCGGCCACAUUGGGACUGAGACACGGCCCAG